rnacentral:misc_RNA from 1 species
AAGUCGUAACAAGGUUUCCGUAGGUGAACCUGCGGAAGGAUCAUUACAGAAAUGCAAAGGCGGCGCCGCUCAGCCGGGGUCGCCGGCGCACAUCUUUACCCACACACCCAUUGUGAACCGAAGCGUGGAGGUCAGUAGGGGCUUUGCGGCCUCGAACGCCCCGCGAAUACACACCAUACCCCAUCGCAAGUCUCAGAAUGUAAACCUGCGUUAGAUCGCAACAAAUACAACUUUCAGCAACGGAUCUCUUGGCUCUC